rnacentral:rRNA from 1 species
UACGUAGGGUGCGAGCGUUGUCCGGAAUUACUGGGCGUAAAGAGCUCGUAGGCGGUGUGUCGCGUCGGCCGUGAAAACUCGGGGCUUAACCCCGGGCCUGCAGUGGGUACGGGCAGACUAGAGUGCGGUAGGGGAGACUGGAAUUCCAGGUGUAGCGGUGAAAUGCGUAGAUAUCUGGAGGAACACCGGUGGCGAAAGCGGCCCACUGGACCUUCUCUGACGCUGAGGUGCGAAAGCUAGGGUAGCAAACGGG